rnacentral:lncRNA from 1 species
UUCAAAUUCGAAGUCCCACCUUUAGCGGCACUGUGACUUUUAUUUGCCGCCUUGUUCACCUAGCAAUUACACACUACAGUCUACACUCUACAGAUAAGAUUUGAAACAACUUUAGUAGUAUGUGCACCCACUUAUAUUUGGGUAACGCUGUAUAUUGAUUGAACAACAAUUAACCCAACAAAAAGAUUCUUCUCACUUCACUUCAAUCUUCCCCCAUACAUCUAUAAGAUACUUCACAAACAUAUACAUAUUGUUGCUGUGUCUUUGCUGUCUGUGAUGUGUUUGUUCGAAUGCUUCAAACAACUUCAAGUUACAUCAAAUUAUGUUUAUAUUUUCUAGGAUUGGUCUUUAGCUGUUUGCUGCGUUAUUAUGCUUGUGUUAUCCUCUUGAUCACUUUCUAUGCACUGACAUUUCCGAAUUUGAGUGCGGUGUGCAGCUAGUUUUCUAUUUGUAAUCAAGCAAUUAUUACAUGGA